UGUUAAAUAACACCCAUACAAAAUAUUUCUCCAAAAGUAGGUUUUACUAACUCUUCGAAAAAAAAUCGAUAGAUAAAUCGCUAUGGUUUAGUUAUGUGACAUCUCUAAAUCUUUCAAACUCGAAACGUCACACGGACCAUCCUAGGCGAAAAAGACUAUAGGCAAAUAGUUAGUUGAGAAAAUUCUUAGAUUUAAGCAUUUUACAAUAAGAAGAAGACACACACAAUGACAGAUCAUUACGGACCAUUAUAUCUGUGACAACAAAAAAAAAAAAAAAAACCAACUCGAAAGAAAGAAAAGAAAAAAAAAAAAGAAGACAAAGACAACUGUCACUGUCAUUUAUUGGACACAUUUUCGCAUUAAAGUUCUGCGUGCAUGGUGCAAAUACAUUAAGUCGGCCAAGGAUUAAUCAAUUAAAACAUGUGCAUGCGCAGCCACGUCUAGAAUGACCUGGCAGCGGUUCAAUUAAUGAGGAAAAGUGUUGCAAUCUGUUCAUGGGGGCAAGACAGGUGCAGAAUAGACCUUUGUCCCUCCGCACCUCAAGGGGCCCACGCGGCGCCGGAACGUAGCGUCAUCGCCAAUGACACGCGUCGCGUAUAACCCAAUGGGCGCGCAAUGGCGGUGGUAAAUCGUUCCAGCACCGCGAGGCCGCAAACCUAAAGGAGCCCCUGAAGGCAACAGUGCGGUGUCUUGGAGUCAGAAAGACGGUUAAGGACGAGACAAUUUGACACACACCAUCCAGAGAUGCAUUCAAGAUCCCUAUUUAUGCAAUCCACGGCCUCUCUGUACUUAUCUGGAGCAAAAGAAAUAUACAUCUGAAGAUCAUCGGCGUAUAAGUGGUGAUGACAAUGUGUUAUAUGUGUUGUUAUGUCGGCACUGUACAGUAUGUAAAGCAAGGGUCCCAAUAUAGAGCCCUGGGGCACGCCACGAGUCACCACCUGCGAGGCGGAACGUGACCCACGGCCAUCCGACUGUAUGAGCUCCACACACUGCCGCCUCCCAGACAGGUAGCUACCGAACCAUCUGACCGCACUUGGAUCGAGACCAUAGUAACUCAUCUUGGACAAAAGCAAAGAUAAAUUGAUGGAAUCGAACGCUCUCGAGAAGUCUAGCAGCAGCAGCAGGGUAACCAUCCCUUGGUCUUGUGCGGCCAAAGCAUUAUCAACAAUAUCUGCCAGAGCCGUUGCCGUGCCAUAUCCCUUCCUAAAACCCGAUUGAAAUUGUGGAAGCAUGCCAUGUCCCUCCAGAUAAACAGUCAAUUGAUCACACACAAUCCUUUCUAGUACUUUGGAGAGACAGGGAAGGAUGCUGAUUGGGCGGAGAUCUUGCAAAGUAGUGGGCUGGCUAUUUUUCGGAAGUGGUUUUAUGACUGCCUCCUUCCAUUCUUCAGGGAACCUGCUCUCAGUAAUGGAGCGGUUGAUUAUAGCUGUGAUAGCGUCUAGUGAAU